GUCAUGGGGCAGGCAAGGAAGAUGAGAAUCAAGAGGACCCUGUGAUGCUCAGAGAGGCAAAGUGACUUGCCCAAGGUCACACAGCAGGUAUGUGACAGAGGCUGCUUGUGACCUGUCUGUCCCCCCUGCCCAGUGCUCAUGUCCUUCCUCCAAAGUGUCUAGCUAUCCCUGUGUCUGCACUGAAUGAGACUGGGGUCCCCAGCCAGGGCAUCCACCUCCACCCAGAAAGACCCUUGGCCUUUCUCCCUAAACUCCCCAAGAGUGCAAGAAGGUAGGAAGACCUGCCUGGGCUUCUGAGUCACACUGGCAGCCCUGGAAUCCCUGCCUGGCCACAGACUAGCAUGAUCUCCCUCAGCCUCAACUUCCCUCUCAGGAAAAUGGGACCUCCGGCAGAGGGUUGUUUUAAGGAUUCAGCCAGCUGGGUCUAAAGCUCUCCCGGGCACAUGCUGUGCAAGUGGCUGCCAGUAAAAGUAAAAUCCUCAUCAGGAAGAGGGUGGCCUGGGCAGGGCAUCUCCAAUCCCGCCCUCUUCCAUCCAAUCCCCAACACAGGCCUGGUCCACUCCGCCGGACCCACCUAGGAUGGCCACGACCACGUCGUCGCGCAGGAUCUCGAUGGAGCCUCGGGAGAUGAAGUAGAGGGUGGAGAGCACGUCGCCGAGCAGCCCCCUGGUGAAGGACCCCUCUGUCCAGGGAGAAGUCAGGAGUGACCAGGACAGCGCCAGGGCACAUGCGGGACAAAGGCCCCUGGGCUUUCUGCCCUCCUCCCUCUGUCCUGUGCCUCUUGGCAUCUUACUGGGCCUAGCGGUCAAACUCCCGAGAAGAAAGAAGGAAGGCAAUGGAUUUUUAAAGUUCAGAUCUGUUUUCUCCUUUAAGUUGUAAAAAUACAAUAAAGAUAAAACUCUCCGCCGGGUGUGGUGGCUCAGGCCUGUAAUCCCAGCACUUUGGGAGGCCGAGGUGGGCAGAUCACCUGAGGUCAGGAGUUCGAGACCAACCCAGACAACAUGGUGAAACCCCGUCUGUACCAAAAAAAUAGAAAAAUUAGCCGGGCAUGGUGAUGCCCGUCUGUAAUCCCAGCUACUCGGGAGGCUGAGGCAUGAGAAUCGCUUGAACCCAGGAGGCAGAGGUUGCAGUGAGCCAAGACCAUGCCACUGAGCUCCAGCCUGGGCGACAGAAUGAGACUGUCUCAAAACAAAAAAACCCACAACAACAAAAAAGAGCAAACUCUCAAUUUCUUGUUUUCACCCAUUUUCUUCCCUUGUUUUUGUUUUUCUGGACUUUCAUAUCUCUAAAUACUCUGAACAUCACAA
rnacentral:lncRNA from 1 species